UACGAAGGGGGCUAGCGUUGUUCGGAUUCAUUGGGCGUAAAGGGUGCGUAGGCGGCGCGGUAAGUCGGGUGUGAAAUUUCGAGGCUUAACUUCGAAACUGCAUUCGAUACUGCCGUGCUUGAGGACUGGAGAGGAGACUGGAAUUUACGGUGUAGCGGUGAAAUGCGUAGAUAUCGUAAGGAAGACCAGUGGCGAAGGCGGGUCUCUGGACAGUUCCUGACGCUGAGGCACGAAGGCCAGGGGAGCAAACGGG
rnacentral:rRNA from 1 species